rnacentral:rRNA from 1 species
UGCGUAGGCGGGUUUUUAAGUCAGGGGUGAAAUCCUGGAGCCCAACUCCAGAACUGCCUUUGAUACUGAAGAUCUUGAGUCCGGGAGAGGUGAGUGGAACUGCGAGUGUAGAGGUGAAAUUCGUAGAUAUUCGCAAGAACACCAGUGGCGAAGGCGGCUCACUGGCCCGGUACUGACGCUGAGGCACGAAAGCGUGGGGAGCAAACA